rnacentral:lncRNA from 1 species
GGUUCUAGGAGCUAAAGAUCGCCACCCUCUAUCAAAAUAUCAUCUACAUAAAAAACCAACCUACACGUCGCUGUGUUGCUAGGGUUCCAUUUUUGUAAAAGGGUUAUAUAGUCUUAUACAUGUGCAUAUUCAUAGUUUUUAAUAUGCACCCCAAAAAAGCUUUCAAAAAGAGGAUGCUGAGGUGGGAGAAUCACUUGAACCUGGGAGGCAGAGGUUGCAAUGAGCCGAGAUGGCGCCAUUGCACUCCAGCCUUGGCAACAGAGUGAAACUCCAUUCCCGCCCCCACCCCCUCCCCCCAGAAAAAAUAAUGAUUUUUUUCCAAAAAAAAUAGCUAUUUAGGUGCUCUAUUUUGUAACACUACAGUAGAAUCUGCAAGAAAACAAGCACUCAGCUAAUAACUUUAUUCUGAAUGUAAUGUUCAAGUUAGAAUUCAACUCACAUUUUCUCCCCAAAAGGACAUGAACAUUUGAAAUUUAUGCUUCCCAGCUCCUACAGUGGUGUUCGGCAGCCAAGCAGUUUUUCACAGAUGCCAUGGGUAGGGUUCAAUGGUCACUGUACUCUUUACUUAGUGAGGGUGGCAUUGUCAUAUUUCACCAGGCAUGGCCAGGUUGCUGGGAUGACACAUCCAGCCGCUCUGAGCUUUGUUUGACCUUCUCCCAGCCU